rnacentral:rRNA from 1 species
ACGCUGGCGGCGUGCCUAAUACAUGCAAGUCGAACGCACAGCGAAAGGUGCUUGCACCUUUCAAGUGAGUGGCGAACGGGUGAGUAACACGUGGACAACCUGCCUCAAGGCUGGGGAUAACAUUUGGAAACAGAUGCUAAUACCGAAUAAAACUCAGUGUCGCAUGACACAAAGUUAAAAGGCGCUUUGGCGUCACCUAGAGAUGGAUCCGCGGUGCAUUAGUUAGUUGGUGGGGUAAAGGCCUACCAAGACGAUGAUGCAUAGCCGAGUUGAGAGACUGAUCGGCCACAUUGGGACUGAGACACGGCCCAAACUCCUACGGGAGGCUGCAGUAGGGAAUCUUCCACAAUGGGCGAAAGCCUGAUGGAGCAACGCCGCGUGUGUGAUGAAGGCUUUCGGGUCGUAAAGCACUGUUGUAUGGGAAGAACAGCUAGAAUAGGGAAUGAUUUUAGUUUGACGGUACCAUACCAGAAAGGGACGGCUAAAUACGUGCCAGCAGCCGCGGUAAUACGUAUGUCCCGAGCGUUAUCCGGAUUUAUUGGGCGUAAAGCGAGCGCAGACGGUUGAUUAAGUCUGAUGUGAAAGCCCGGAGCUCAACUCCGGAAUGGCAUUGGAAACUGGUUAACUUGAGUGCAGUAGAGGUAAGUGGAACUCCAUGUGUAGCGGUGGAAUGCGUAGAUAUAUGGAAGAACACCAGUGGCGAAGGCGGCUUACUAGACUGUAACUGACGUUGAGGCUCGAAAGUGUGGGUAGCAAACAGGAUUAGAUACCCUGGUAGUCCACACCGUAAACGAUGAACACUAGGUGUUAGGAGGUUUCCGCCUCUUAGUGCCGAAGCUAACGCAUUAAGUGU